UUGCCUCCCACACCACCCUGACCCAGGAUUGAACCCACAACCUGGGUAUGUGUUCUCUGAAGAUGCUCCAGCCGACUGAGCCACACCAGCCAGGGCAACAAAUUCUUUAGUGAGAACACAUUUGGUACGGUGCUGAAACGUAACCUUUCCACUUAGCUGGUAUUAAGCUUUCUGGCUGAUCCAGUCUUGUUCUCUCUCAGCCACUAUAACCCAAGUCCAAAACUCCAGAGAAUUCCCCUAUGUCCUCAAAGGCAGUGGCCACACCCAGGCGUCAGGAUUUCAUGACCAGAAAACUCCCUCCCCACCCCCAAAUUUUGGUGACAUCUGUCGUUUCCAGCUGUUAAUUUUGCCAAGGAAAUUCUGACAAAACAACUACUAGCCACCAUUGCCACAAAGCCAAGCCUGUUUUCACACCCUUAACAAAUGGACUUGAACUUACAUGGACAAUAUAUGAAAGACCUUCCCUAGAAAGGACAGUUGGCACUCACACCAAUGUACAUACCUAUUUAUAUAAUUCAUCCUUAUUUUCAUCAAACCAAUGAACACCUCAGUGCAGGGCAUGGGUAUUUAUAAUGCUGGUGUGGGAAACACCUCUCCUAAUAACGUUCUGUUUGGGUUUGCUUCCCGGCCAACGCACCAAAAUAAUAAUAAUGUUCUGUUUUUCUUUGUCCAGAGUUUGUAAAAAAAAAAAGAAAAAUGUUUAUAUUGCUUCAAACUCCAGAGAGAAGCCUUCUAUUUCAAAUUAAUCCCCUAAGACAGAAAAAAGAAGAGUCUAAACUUUAGACUCUAAAGUGAAAGGAUCGGGUCUGGCCAGUGCUGUUCAGUGGUUGAGGGUCAAUCCGAGUCAGGAGGUCACGGAAGCCAGUCAGGGCAUAUACACCCCCCCACCCCACCUUGCGAUCUCAGUGCGGGGCGUGCAGGAGGCAGACAAUGAUUCUCUCUCAUCAUUGAUGUUUCUAUCUCUCCCUCUCCCUCCCUCUCUCUGAAAUCAAAACAUUUUUACAAAGUUAAAGGAUCCGAAUCAAAGCUGGCUCUGGGUAAUAAAGUGUAUAAUUUAGUGGUUUUUAAGUGUAUUCACAAAGUCGUGCGAUCAUCACAAUGAUCUAAUUUUAUAUUUUCAUCUCCCCCAAAAGAAAGCUUCAUGCAUUAGUAGCCACUCCCCUCCCUAUUGCCCUACAGCCCCAGCCUCUGGCAGCCACUAAUAAAAGUCUAAAUGUC